rnacentral:tRNA from 1 species
GUUUAGGAAGGGGUAGUGGUUUGAGCAUUGGACUAUGACUCUGGAGACCAGGGUUCAAAUCCCUGCUUGGCCA